rnacentral:rRNA from 1 species
GUGGUGACAUGUGGAGCUGACGAAUACUAAUAGAUCGAGGACUUAACCAUA